rnacentral:rRNA from 1 species
UUAGAGUUUGAUCCUGGCUCAGAACGAACGCUGGCGGCGUGGAUAAGACAUGCAAGUCGAACGAGAGAAUUGCUAGCUUGCUAAUAAUUCUCUAGUGGCGCACGGGUGAGUAACACGUGAGUAACCUGCCCCCGAGAGCGGGGUAGCCCUGGGAAACUGGGAUUAAUACCGCAUAGUAUCGAAAGAUUAAAGCAGCAAUGCGCUUGGGGAUGGGCUCGCGGCCUAUUAGUUAGUUGGUGAGGUAACGGCUCACCAAGGCGAUGACGGGUAGCCGGUCUGAGAGGAUGUCCGGCCACACUGGAACUGAGACACGGUCCAGACACCUACGGGUGGCAGCAGUCGAGAAUCAUUCACAAUGGGGGAAACCCUGAUGGUGUGACGCCGCGUGGGGGAAUGAAGGUCUUCGGAUUGUAAACCCCUGUCAUGUGGGAGCAAAUUAAAAAGAUAGUACCACAGGAGGAAGAGACGGCUAACUCUGUGCCAGCAGCCGCGGUAAUACAGAGGUCUCAAGCGUUGUUCGGAAUCACUGGGCGUAAAGCGUGCGUAGGCUGUUUCGUAAGUCGUGUGUGAGAGGCGCGGGCUCAACCCGCGGACGGCACAUGAUACUGCGAGACUAGAGUAAUGGAGGGGGAACCGGAAUUCUCGGUGUAGCAGUGAAAUGCGUAGAUAUCGAGAGGAACACUCGUGGCGAAGGCGGGUUCCUGGACAUUAACUGACGCUGAGGCACGAAGGCCAGGGGAGCGAAAGGGAUUAGAUACCCCUGUAGUCCUGGCAGUAAACGGUGCACGCUUGGUGUGCGGGGAAUCGACCCCCUGCGUGCCGGAGCUAACGCGUUAAGCGUGCCGCCUGGGGAGUACGGUCGCAAGAUUAAAACUCAAAGAAAUUGACGGGGACCCGCACAAGCGGUGGAGUAUGUGGCUUAAUUCGAUGCAACGCGAAGAACCUUACCUGGGCUUGACAUGUAAUGAACAACAUGUGAAAGCAUGCGACUCUUCGGAGGCGUUACACAGGUGCUGCAUGGCCGUCGUCAGCUCGUGUCGUGAGAUGUUUGGUUAAGUCCAGCAACGAGCGCAACCCCUGUUGCCAGUUACCAGCACGUGAAGGUGGGGACUCUGGCGAGACUGCCCAGAUCAACUGGGAGGAAGGUGGGGACGACGUCAGGUCAGUAUGGCCCUUAUGCCCAGGGCUGCACACGUACUACAAUGCCCAGUACAGAGGGGGCCGAAGCCGCGAGGCGGAGGAAAUCCUGAAAACUGGGCCCAGUUCGGACUGUAGGCUGCAACCCGCCUACACGAAGCCGGAAUCGCUAGUAAUGGCGCAUCAGCUACGGCGCCGUGAAUACGUUCCCGGGUCUUGCACACACCGCCCGUCA